rnacentral:lncRNA from 1 species
GAUGGUGCAUUCAAAUUUGAUAUGAUUCUAGAUCCUAGUUGUGGUUUUGGCAUAACAAUAAUCAAUAAGAAAACAAUCGCUAUCACAUCUGGAUAUUCUAGCGAGUACAUCGGUAUUGACAUAAUAGACACCGAGAGCCGGACGAAGGUCAAGUUCAUCAACCUUCCUGGUCCUUCAUAUGGAAUCACACGUGAUCAAGACUCGUUGUUUGUCUGUGUUGAAGGACAUGGUAUAUAUGAAAUAAACACUGUGGGUUAUUUUACCUCUAACGAGAUCAGUUGUAACUUACCAUCAGGUUCUUACGUAUCUGUAUUCUCCAACAAGAUAUACUACACUGACUGGAGAGAUGAUAGUGUAGUUUGUUGUGACCGUGAUGGAUCACCUCUUUGGACUUUUAACGAUAACUCUGUUUUGAAACGUCCGAUGGGCAUCACUGUAGAUAAUGACGGUAACGUGUUUGUUGUUGGAGGGAACUCGUGGAAUGUGGUCAUUAUAUCAAAUGAUGGAAAACAUCACACACACAAAGAUGGUCUAGAUGAACCGUCAGCUGUUUUCUUUGAUAAACAGAC